GAUUUUGAAUGUUCGAACUCGAACAGAGUAAUGCAUCCCUCGUAUAAAACAAUUAAGUGUUUUUGUUAGAAACCUUAUUUAGUGUUGAAUCCACAAUACCACAAUACCAGAUACUGGCCCGCGAUGUUGAUGUUGAUGCGAACGCGAACGUCUUUUGUUUUCACUUCGUAUAGCUGUUAAACCGCUUAAGUUUUUAGGAACGAUGCUAAACUUGAUACUCAACUGUAGUAACUAAAGAAAAAGGUACAGUAAUACAACAACCGUAGCACAAAACCAAGUGGAAGGGAGACACAAUUAAAAAUGACCGGUUGGAUACGAAUUUAAGUGCACAUAUUUAUUAAAAAUAACAAAAUAUGAAAAUUAAAUAUGAAGUUUUUAAUACCAACUGCGAGAAAAAGCACAAAUGUAUUGUUUAUAUUUUUAAGUCCAUAUUUUAAUUUUGGGACAACUCUUGAAAAAUGUUUCCUUAAUAAAAAAUUACAUUUAUGAAUACAA